CACGUAGGGCGCGAGCGUUUGUCCGGAAUUAUUGGGCGUAAAGAGCUCGUAGGCGGCCUGUUGCGUCCGCUGUGAAAGCCCGGGGCUUAACCCCGGGUCUGCAUUCGAUACGGGCAGGCUAGAGUGUGGUAGGGGAGAUCGGAAUUCCUGGUGUAGCGGUGAAAUGCGCAGAUAUCAGGAGGAACACCGGUGGCGAAGGCGGAUCUCUGGGCCAUUACUGACGCUGAGGAGCGAAAGCGUGGGGAGCGAACAGG
rnacentral:rRNA from 1 species